AGUGAACGCUGGCGGUAGGCCUAACACAUGCAAGUCGAACGGCAGCACAGUAAGAGCUUGCUCUUACGGGUGGCGAGUGGCGGACGGGUGAGGAAUACAUCGGAAUCUACUUUUUCGUGGGGGAUAACGUAGGGAAACUUACGCUAAUACCGCAUACGACCUACGGGUGAAAGCAGGGGAUCUUCGGACCUUGCGCGAUUGAAUGAGCCGAUGUCGGAUUAGCUAGUUGGCGGGGUAAAGGCCCACCAAGGCGACGAUCCGUAGCUGGUCUGAGAGGAUGAUCGGCCACACUGGAACUGAGACACGGUCCAGACUCCUACGGGAGGCAGCAGUGGGGAAUAUUGGGCAAUGGGCGCAAGCCUGACGCAGCCAUGCCGCGUGAGUGAAGAAGGUCUUCGGGUCGUAAAGCUCUGUUAUUGGGAAAGAAAAUCAGCAUGAGAAAAUGUGGCUGUUCUGACGGUACCCAAAGAAAAAGCACCGGCUAACUUCGUG
rnacentral:rRNA from 1 species